GUCUUUAAUGAAAUCGAAAGGGAAGCAGUACUGCAAAAGUCAUUUCAGGAAGUAAGCAUUACCCUAGUUUCAAAACCGAAAAAGAGACUAGGUCAGUCCCUUCCGUGAACGUGGGCGCCACAGUGCUCGGGGAGGUGCUAAUGAGGAAGGCGGCAGACCGCACUCCGACACGAGCUGCACCCCGUUCCGCUUCGCAUGGCCCCAACUUGUCCCAGCCUGUGACCUGGUCUCUUGACUUUAGCACCUGUAACCUCAGAGACCCUGCGUUCGACCAAGUAUGGCCAUCAAGUGUGAAAAGUUUCAGCAGAUUCCAAGGUACAGGAAGACCAGGCAUCUGAAGAAUGAAUUCAGCGACUUCGCCCCAGACUGUGGCUCAGCAUCCAGGAACUGACGCUCAGCAGUGCGGUGGGCUUGCGUAGCAUUCUGGCCGUAGGAGGCGUGGGUAGGAAGCUGACUCCCGAGUCCAAGCCCCCAUUAUCUCCAGAUUGCAAGACACUAAAGCUGAGGUGGAAGAAUCUCAAGCAGGUCAGAGCCCCCGUUUCCACAGUGUGGGGUGUACGUACUCGGGCGCAGUCUCCUCACGCUGAGGUACCCCCUUUUCAGGCUGCAGCGUGGGUCAGAAGAUGGUCUUUCUGCAGAGGACCUGGGACAAAAGGAGCAGAAAUGAAAAGUGGAGUGGAUGACUAGUUUCUCACUCCCGGGCAUGGUGUGCUGGGAGCACAGGGUCCUGGCUGGGCCCUGUGCAGGUCACCUGAGCUGGAGGAGCUCACCAGCAGUGGCCACACCUAGAGCACCGUGUCCCUGCCCAUCUCUGUGUGUCCCAGAUCAAUCAGAGGUGUGCUUGUGAGUCUAGCGGCUGCAGCGUGUCUGAAAUCCCCAGCUGGCCAGCUGGGCGAUCACAACAGUAACGGUGCGCAAAGCCUUGGGUGUGGCUGGCUCCACUUGGUGUCCAGGGCCCACCGAGCAGCUUCUCAGCCUUUCUUCUUCUCUCCUGCCUUCGGGUUCUGAAAGGUUCCACUGCCUGCUCCUGGGUCUGUCGGUCUACGAUGACCUGGCCCGGGGUGCCAGGUGCUGCCAGCUGGUGACCACCACCUAAUGGAGCAGGUGGGAGCCUCUGCUCUUUAGUUCCCCCAAAAUGUAGCAUUUAGGGAAACUGUUCUCAACCUUUCCUGUUUGUCGGGCUCGCCCUGGGGGCUUUAGAGAGUGCUAUCAUUUGAACCACUCCCUCAGAGAUCUAACUGGCCUGGGCCCUGGGAUAAACAUGCAGACCCUCAACUUGCUUAGUUCGCAAUUGCUGGGCUACGGGCUUUGUCGGGAUGGUGAGAUGUCACCAUUGCCUCUCACUCCAGGACUUUUUUCCGGGACUUACUGGCUCCUCUUACGCCCAGACAGGCCUCAGUGACCCUGAUGCAGUCUGGAAAUGGUGUAAAACCAACUUCAAAUUGUCUAGAUUGCUGUUACUCCUCCCUGAGGAAACGGAUGCCAAACUAGCUGGACAGCUGACAUGGGCAUCAGCUGGGUGGAGUCCCCUGCAGACAGACUGCAGGGCUUCAUGGCAAGCAGCACAGUCACCGGGGUCGGGAAGGAGUCAGUUCUGGAGGACUGGGGAGAAUCGUGGCCGCAGAAGGCGGGAAGCCUGGCCUGAGUCUGCACGGAGCACCGGAGUCCCUAGCCUGACGUCUCCCAUCCGCAGGCAUCAGCAGGUGAAUUAAAGGGAGAAAGGACAGAGCCUGGACACAGCAUUCGUAAGCGGCCCUCGUUCUGGGCUCAGGCCUAACCUGCCCCAGCCCCGAGCGUCCCCCAGGACCUUGGCCGUCGGGCUCUCUGGCUGUGGCGUCACACUCCUGCUCCAUUCAGGAGGAAGAGAACAGGUGAUGGAGUAUACAAUUUCCAGGCCAGAACGUGGAGUCAGGAGGGGACAGGAGAGGCGCAAACUCUUGGAGCAUCAAGUCUCCGACGGGAGUGGCUCCAGACAUUGGUCUCACCUUUCCUUCCACGAGCACCUUGGCGGGCAUUUUGGAUGAAUGACAUUAUCACGAAGAUGUCUUUGACUUUCUGGACCCCUGACAAGGUCUCGGGAACCUGAAGGAGACGACGGUGUGCACACUGAACUCUCGCUGUGAAGUAACUAUCAUGUUUAGUGACCUGGUAUCUAGCCACAUGGACAAAUCCUCUUCUUCAUUCUAGCAGGCUUUUAAAAAAUUAAGCUUCCUGCAUUUUAAGGUUUCAAUAUAACAUAAAGCAUUACAGAAAAUUAUAUAUCUUGUUUUUAACAUUUUAUUUUGUAUUUUCCCACACAAAGUCACUUUUCUAACUGAUACACCGUGUGUUUAAAAUGAAUCAAAAUUUACCUAACUCAUUAAUGAAGGCAUUAAAUAUGAUGAUAGUUAAGAAGUAUAGAAGAGACAGAAAAAUUGAUAGGAAUUGAAAAGUUACUAGGAUAGGACUUUAAUUAAAUGCAAAACUUACUUGCUCUAUAGAAUAAUAUAAUAUAAUAAUAAUAAUAUAAUUUGGCUGUAUUUUUUAACUAGAGAAAAUGCUUUGUGUAACUGUUCAAGAAUAAUUUGCCUUGUUAUUAGCUUUUCUAUAGAUUUCUUUUGUAUUUGAGAAUUUAUUCUUUUUAUAUUAUGGAAAAAAUAAAGUAAAAUUUCAUAGCAAAACAAUAGGGGAAUAAAUAGUUAAUACAUUGCAUAUUGUUAUCUUCAAAGUAGUUACUCAGAGCAGAAGAUAUGGGCAUAAAAGAUUCUCCAAAUGAUAUUAGCACAAAUCUUUUUUUUUUUUUUUUAGCAAACUAAGAGAAGCUAGUACAAUAACUAACUUGUAGUCUUUCCUCUUGUAAAAUAUAAUAAUACUAAAUAGGCAGGAUUAUUAUCUUUUAGUCUUUAGCCUUUCAAAAUUAUUCCAGAAUAAUAAUUAAAGAUUUACAUUUUUUUGUAAUCCUUGUCUCUAAGUUUUAAGCUUUUCUAAACAAUCCCCCUUUGAUCAGAAAUAAUUUCAAGACAUUAUUCUUGGCCACUACAGAAGACUGGCAGUUGUUCUAAUUCAUUUGCCUAGGUACAGCAUGAAAUAGUAAUAAGCCUAUAUAAUCUACUUGUAGAUUCUUUUUGCGACAAGGUCUGUGUAGUUCAGACUGUGCUUGAACUCAUUAUGUAGCUUUGACUGGCCUUGAACUCAUAGUGAUCCUCCUGCUUCAGCCUCCCACACGUUGGAAUUACAGGUGUGUGCCACCAUCCGUGUUCCUUUUCCUGUAGUUUUGUCAGAAAAUCUAAGCCGUGUGGCAUUAUAAAACUACCAGGGCUGAAAAAUGCUUUUCACCAUAAACAUAACUUUUAAUCAUUCAUGGUGAAUUUCUUGUAUCUGAUCAAAGAAAAAUUUUUUUCAAAUGUGACACACCUAGCAUGAUCUUGAUUACACAAUUAAUUUAUCCAGAGUAAAAGUUUUAAUUUUGACAAAACUCAAUUUAUAAAUUAUUCUUUCAUGGUUUGUGCUUUUAGUAAGAGCAAAGCUGGCUUAAAAGCCGGGCAUGGUGGUACUCUUGUGGUCCCAACCUUCGGGAGGCUGAGGCAAGAGAAUCACUUGGAAGUUUGAGACCAGUCUGGGCUAUAAAGUGAGCCCAAGGCCAGCCUGAAUUGCACAGUGUGACCCUGUGUCAAAGGCAAAAAAAAAAAAGUUGGGGAUUUAAC